CCUCAGCCUCCCAAAGUGCUAGGAUUACAGGCGUGAGUCACUGCGCCUGGCCCAAGUCCGGAAUUUUCAACAGGACAUGGGUGUUACUGUGCCCAUGUGACAUUUGGGGAACCCAAGGCCCUGAGAAAGGCAGAAAAAUAACCCACGCAGGGACUCUCAGCCCACAAGUGAAGCUACCCUGCUUCUCUCCAGGAGAACCGGGAAUGGAAAACAGGGAGGCAGCACAGAGGCAGGAAACUCAGGUGUCAUAGCUUGGCUCAGCUUGGAAUGCACUCCCUCCACCUCCAACCAGAGCUCCCCACAACUGACCCUGCCUUCUUCUGCAAGCUCCAUUUCAUCAAGGGAAACGAUCCUUAUUGCCUCACCAUUUCCCACGUGAAGUCUGUAUUGACAUUCUCAUAGACCUGGGAUAUUGUGUCUGCAGCACAUAGUCCAAUUAUUUUCAUGUUAUCUACUGACAGGUCUAUUUGUCUCCCUGUUACACUGUGAGCUCCGUGAGGGCAGAAACAAUGUUAGUAUUUUCACUGCUGUGUCCCCAGCGCCUGGUCCGGGGCCCGGCACACAGCAGGCAUAUAAUAAGCAUGUGUUGAAUCAAUAAAGGCAUCAAAGAAUAAACCAAUACAUCAAUCAAUAAA
rnacentral:lncRNA from 1 species